CCUACGGGUGACAGCAGUGAGGAAUAUUGGUCAAUGGGCGCUAGCCUGAACCAGCCAAGUAGCGUGAAGGAUGACUGCUCUAGGGGCUGUAAACUUCGUUUAUAUGGGAAUAAAGUGCAGUAUGUAUACUGCUUUGCAUGUACCUUAUGAAUAAGGAUCGGCUAACUUCGUGCCAUCAGCCGCGGUAAUACGGAGGAUCCGAGCGUUAUCCGGAUUUAUUGGGUUUAACGGGAGCGUAGGCGGGUUGUUAAGUCAGUUGUGAAAGUUUGCGGCUCAACCGUAAAAUUGCAGUUGAUACUGGCAGCCUUGAGUACAGUAGAGGUAGGCGGAAUUCGAGGUGUAGCGGUGAAAUGCUUAGAUAUCACGAAGAACUCCGAUUGCGAAGGCAGCCUGCUGGACUGUAACUGACGCUGAUGCUCGAAAGUGUGGGUAGCAAACAGGAUUAGAUACCCCGGUAGUC
rnacentral:rRNA from 1 species